UACGUAGGGUGCAAGCGUUGUCCGGAAUUAUUGGGCGUAAAGAGCUCGUAGGCGGUUUGUUGCGUCGGCUGUGAAAUCCCGAGGCUCAACCUCGGGCCUGCAGUCGAUACGGGCAGACUAGAGUGUUUCAGGGGAGACUGGAAUUCCUGGUGUUGCGGUGAAAUGCGCAGAUAUCAGGAGGAACACCGGUGGCGAAGGCGGGUCUCUGGGCAACAACUGACGCUGAGGAGCGAAAGCGUGGGGAGCGAACAGG
rnacentral:rRNA from 1 species